AUUGAACGCUGGCGGCAGGCUUAACACAUGCAAGUCGAACGAGUGGCGGACGGGUGAGUAAUGCUUGGGAAUCUAGCUUAUGGAGGGGGAUAACUACGGGAAACUGUAGCUAAUACCGCGUACCAUAGGAUGAGCCCAAGUGGGAUUAGGUAGUUGGUGAGGUAAGGGCUAACCAAGCCGACGAUCUCUAGCUGGUCUGAGCGGAUGACCAGCCACACUGGAACUGAGACACGGCCCGGACUCCUACGGGAGGCAGCAGUGGGGAAUAUUGCACAAUGGGCGCAAGCCUGAUGCAGCCAUGCCGCGUGUGUGAAGAAGGCCUUCGGGUUGUAAAGCACUUUCAGCGGGGAGGCGUUACCCGCAGAAGAAGCACUGGCUAACUCCGUGCCAGCAGCCGCGGUAAUAC
rnacentral:rRNA from 1 species